GUCGGCCAUCGCGCGCCUUGCCCUGGGUCAGGCCGAGAUUCCCCCGUGGUCCUGGCGGCGUCCUGGAUGUCCGUUAUCUUCAUUCUGACCUUCACCCCCUUUCCCGCGUUCGUCGCCGGCGUGCGCCCCGACGCCAAGGACCCUGUCAGGAUUGGAUGCCUCGUUUCGAUGGCCUUCAUGGUGCUCGGAACUAAAUACGAUUUGGUGUUGGAUCUGUUGCGUGUGGAAGGAUGUCAGAGGGAACGGAUUGGUUCAAUGGCGAGGGGUGUUGGGAUAAUGGGUGCUGGUGCAACAUGCUGCUUCGUCAUCAUACCCACUAUGCUACUGAGGCAAUGGAGGAUCAAGAUGAAGUAGAGGGCUAUGUGGUUGUGUUGCUCAGACAUAACCCUGAAUGGAUGGUGUUAAGAUUGGCAAGACAAAUACAAGAGUCGACUUUUUGCUGAAGUUUGUGGUCGCGUAUAAGUACCGGAUUAUAGUUAGUUAGUUACAUGUAUUCACGACUGUAGAUUGAUCCACUGCUGGUAUCGAAUACUCCAUGUGCCAGGAGCUCUCGUAAUUUGACAUUGUGGUGUUGAAAUGUUUACUUGCUGCUGGGAAACCUGGAAAUCAUGACCAGACAGUGAGGGGUAGCACCCUCUCCGAGGACAAUGCUUUUCUAGGCAUAUAGAAUUUACCAUGUUGGUAGUGUUAUGUUCGAUGACUACCAUUUCUUCACAAGCGGUUGGCCUGUGACAGUUAUUGUAGAAUGUUAUGUAGUGAUCACCGAGAGGUGGACCUCAUAUCUUAGGUGGCUUCGU